AUGGCCUGGACUUCUCUUUUGAUCACACUCCUGGCUCACUGCACAGGAGCCAUGUCCCAGGCUGUUGUGACUCAGGAAUCUUCAAUCACCACAUCUCCUGGAGGGACAGUCACACUCACCUGUGGCUCAAGUACAGGGGCUGUUACCACCAGUAACUAUGCCAACUGGGUUCAACAGAAACCUUACCAGCUACCCACAGGUCUUAUAGGUGGUACCAGCAACCGAGGUCCUGGUGUGCCUGCCCGAUUCUCAGGCUCCCUGCUUGGAGACAAGGCUGCCCUCACCAUCACAGGGGCCCAGCCUGAGGAUGAGGCUGUGUAUUACUGUGCUCUGUGGUUCAGCAACCACUUCCACAGUGGCACAUGCAGAUGGGGAAGUAGAACACAAACACCUUG